GGCAUCUGUGCUGGGCUUCAAUAAAGUUGAGCAAGAGUUGGCAGCCAUCGCUUGGCCUCCCGUGCUCGCCCGUAUCUGCUCAGAACAGGUGGAGGCUCGCCGCAGCAUCCGCAGCCCAGACAGCAGCCCCCUGCACCCCCACACAUCUCGUGCCACAUGGCAGCCGUCCCUCAGCGAGUCUGGUCCAUUCUUUAGCGAACACGCCUGCCCGCCAUCGCCGCAUGCUGCCCGUUGUUGAGCCACAAUGAGAGGAAGAAUAGCAGCACCCAUAAUCCCUUGGUUCUGCUCCUAGUCUGGUGGCACCCUCUCAAUCAGACUUCUUGAAAGCGUCUCUGAUCGCCGGGGCCGUCUCAUGAGAUGCCGUAGUUGUUGUAGUAGGCGGCGGUGGCGUCGGCCAGCACCGAGAUGAGACUGGUCUCCGUGGUGCUACUGGGACACGUCAAGGUGGAGACGGGGGAGGAGGCGGAGGACACCUGGACGUGGCCCGUGACCGUGACCUGCUCGGCAUGGAAGCCGCCCCCGGUGGAGUUCAGGUACUGGUCAAACUCGUCGCGGUCCACCUCACCCA